GUUUUCAGGCGGCCUCCUGAGAAAUGUUUGCAAUUGUAAGGCGUCUCUCUCAUCCAGGUUUACCCAGAUUCGCAAACUAUGGCGACAAACAACCAUAGCAGAAGCAUGUCCGGAUUAUUUCACAUAUAUCACAAAAUCCUGCAAAGGGUCUGUCCCCAUUGGAUCACCUCCCAUCACGCCACACACGACGUGAAUGACUUCGUGCUUCUCCAUACCUGCAUUGAUCUCUGGGUCCAUUGCCAGUUAUAAACCUCCAAGGGCAAUAGCCAUGAGGUGAUGUACAGUCAAGCAUCACUUAAUAACCAGGAUACAUUCUGAGAAAUUUGUCGUUAGGCAAUUUUUUCAUUGCACGAACCUCACAGAGUGUACUUACACUAACCUAGAUAGUAGCAUCCAGUAAACACCUGGGCUAUAUGGUCUAGCCUAUUGCUCCUAGGCUACAAACCUGUAUAGCAUGUUACUGUACUGAAUAUGUAGGCACUUGUAACACAAUGGUAAGUGUUUUUGUAUCUAAACAUAUCUAAACAUAGGAGAGGUAAUGCAUUGUGCUACAGCAUUACAAUGGCUAUGACAGACACUAGGCAAUAGGAAUUUUCCAGCUCCAUUAUAAUCUUAAGGGACCACCAUGGCACAUGCAGCCCAUUGUUGACCAAAAGUUGUUAUGUGGUGAAUGACUAUAAUUGGCUUUUCAGAGCAACCACUCACAAGGGGGUGUAGUAUAGCUUACUAGACAAAACUGCAGCCGCUGCUCUGUUUUUUGCUCUUAGAAAACUGAGUACCUGAUUUGGACAAAAUCAUAAUAAAAUUUAGAUAGAGCCAACAUUUGUCCUCUGGAAGUUUCUGACAAGAUACAAGUCACCGUUAUAAUAGUCAAAUGUCAAAGUGGUAUAUCUAACAAAAUUAAAACAGACAGCUAGGAGUGAGAAGAUUUAAGAAAAUUCAGGUGGCCCAAAGGAAAGCCAAGACAAGACAUUCUCUCCCGGCCUUUGGGCCUGGAUUUUCAUUUCAGCAGGUAACGAGGAGACCAAAGGCCUAGUUAUUUAUGGAGAUCUGGGGCCACAGCAGAGCUCCUCAUGGCAGGAUAAGGCAGUGGAAAGCAGACUCAACGGUUAACCCACAGUCCUCCUCAGCAAGCUGGGAGAAGCAACUGAUGCCACUUAGAUGCUUAGACCGGGCCUUCUGGGAGAGAUCUGGCCCAAGGAGCAGCCGGCAGCUUGACACAGUGACCAAUUGGAAGCACAGCAGCCACACGCCAUGAAACAAGAGAGCCAGCUGGUGGACCGCAGAGACAGACUUCCAGCCAGGGCCAAGCCCUUCAGGAAGGGAGUCAUGCACCAAACUCAGCUAACAGACCACCAGGGCACCACUGGGUCUCCUGCUGGGGAACAGCACACCUAUGGGUGGGCUCUAGGGGUGGGGUGGCCUGGUUGCUGGUUCUGCUCUGCCACUUCUUAGCUGGACUUGAGCAAUUUGUAACAUUUCUUGGCUCAGUUUCUCCACCUGCACAAUCAAAAUAUCACUACCUUCCUCCAAGAUUGCAUUAAGUGUGACAAUUUAUGUAAAGCACUUAGUCCAGUGCCUGGCACCUAGUAAGUACUGAAUAGUGAAAACAAUUUAAGUCUAACAAAUCCACACACCAUGACGUCAGACAAAUUAGGCAUCUUUCAUUGCUGUUGUGAAAAUUGCGCUAACUCUAAACUCUAACGUACAUCUGGCUCACUGUCUUUCUGUAAGACCAGUCAGAGCAGCAGCUCCUUCCUUGGUAAAAUACUUUAAAAAACUCCCAUUCCUGGCUGGGCACCGGGGCUCACGCCUGUAAUCCCAGUAGAUUGGGAGGCUGAGGCGGGUGAAUCACUUGAGGUCAGGAGUUCGAGACUAGCCUGGCCAACAUGGUGAAACCCCAUCUCUACUAAAAAUACAAAAUUAGCUGAGGGUGGUGGCAGACACCUGUAAUCCCAGCUACUCUGGAGGCUGAGGCAGAAGAAUCGCCUGGAGGCGGAGGAUGCCAUGAGCCGAGAUCGUGCCACUGCACUCCAGCCUGUGCAACAGAGUGAGACUCUGUCUCAAAAAGCAAACAAACAAGAAACCCCAAAAACUCCCAUUCCUGGGCACCCAUUCUGAUUUUCUUCCUCAUUUACUUCCCUGCCCAAUCGUUGUCUCUAUGUUGCAAUUUGUGGGGGUCAGUCAGAACUGCUUUUCUUCAGAAGCCACUCUUACCCGUUCAGUGACCUCAUUCAGCUCAUGCUAGGGCAGAAUCCACAGCUCUUUCUCUGACGUUUCCACAGUGUGAAGACUCACACAUCUAACUGCCUGCAGAACAUCUCCACUUGGAUCUUGUUAGAUUGUGUGGGUUUCCCAGAAACAGACACCAAGACAGAGUUUGGGGCACAAGAUAAUCUAUUAGGGAUUAACACCUGUGAAAGGAAGGGGCUGGAGGCCUAUUUGGCAGGGGGAAGAGGUGAACUGUGAUAUAGGCCUGUGGGAACCUUAGACAAUCCAGCAGGGAGCAGGGGGAAGGGAGCAGGGAGCUCUGCAGCGAAUACUGCCCAGGACAUAGUUCCUGGGCUAUAUGGCCUAGCCUAUUGCUCCUAGGCUACAAACCUGUAUAGCAUGUUACUGUACUGAAUAUGCAGGCACUUGUAACACAAUGUUAAGUAUUUCAUCAGAGGUGCCCCGCAUCAGGCCAAAGUGGCCCAGCCUUUGUGCCCCGACUUGCUCAGUCAUGGAUGCAAGCUGCCUUAAGAAGGGUGUGACCUCAGACAAAGUGGCUUUCUGCAGGCCAGUUGUGGCCAGGUGGAAGCCAUCUACCAACUUCACUCCCCACAGCUGAGCAAGUCCCUCCUUGAAGGGGAUCUGGGUGGGGUGUCUCCAAGUUUGCUAGAUUAUCUCCCAGCCAUUUCAAAUUCAACAAGUCCAUAACCAAACCCUUGAUUUUACCUGGCUCCCCAGUGUCCCCUUCCCACUCUUUCUUCUCUUACCACUUUGCUCAGGCCAAAACCAAAGUCCCAGCCUCUCUUCCACAAAUGCCCCUUGGUCAAUCUAUCUACACAUAUCCUUCCAUCGCUCCCUUCAGAAUACGUCCAGAACCCAACCACUUCUCAUCUCCUCCAUGGUUCGACCCAUACUCAGCCACACCCCAGCACCAACCCCACGGAUAAUCGCAGUAGCUCCAUAGCUUCCUACCUAAGCGUUACCCCUGCCCACUUUUCUUGCUCUAUUUUCUGCACAUGCAUUGGCGUGAAAUAUUUUUUAUUUUAUUUUAUUAAAUAGAGACAGGGUGUUGCUAUGUUGGGCCUGAUUAUAUUUUUAAAAAAUAAAAAAGGGCCAGGUGCAGUGGCUCACACCUGUAGUCCCAGCACUUUGGGAGGCCAAGGCAGUAGGAUCACUUGAGGCCAGGAAUUUGAGACCAGUCUGGGCAACAUAAUGAGAUGCUGUGUCUCUGUUUAAAAGAUACAUAUAAGUUUAAAAAAUAUUUUCAUUUAUAUACAAUCAGAUCGCCUCAUAUGUCUGCUCAAAGCCAUUUGGUGGCUCCCAUUCAUACUCAGAAUUAAACCCAGAUUCCUUACUGUGGCCUAUCAGCCCUGCAUCAUUCUGUCCCUCUCCUCAACAUGAUCAACUAUUGCUCUUCCCCACAUGACAUCCUACUCCCUCAUCACUCUCUAAACCAGAGCUGCCCAAUACAGGAGCCACCAGUCUCAUAUGGCUACUGAGCAGGUGAAACCUGUGGCUAGUCCAAAUUGAGAUGCUGCCUGUAUCAAAUACAUUGUUUCAGACUUAGUUCAGAAAAGAGAAUGUAAAAUUUCUUUUCUGUUUUUUUGAGACAAUCUUCCUCUGUUGCCCAGGCUGGAUUGCAGUGGCACGAUCUUGGCUCACUGCAACCUCCGCCUCCUAGGUUCAAGUGAUUCUUAUGCCUCAGCCUCCUGAGUAACUGGGAUUAUAGGCAUGUGCCACCACACCUGGCUAAUUUUUGUAUUUUUAGUAGAAAUGGGGUUUCUCCAUGUUGGUCAGGCUGCUCUCGAACUCCUUACCUCAAGUGAUCCACUCACCUUGGCCUCUCAAAGUGCUGGGAUUACAGGCAUGAGCCACUGUGCCCAGUCCAAGAAUCUAAAAUUUCCCAUUAAUAAUUUUUAAAUAUUGUUUGUAAAUUGAAAUAAUAUAUUUAAUAUAUUGGGUUAAAUGCAUUAUUAAUCUUUUCUUUUUUUUUUUUGAGACGGAGUUUCGCUCUUGGCUGGAGUGCAAUGUCGCAAUCUGGGCUCACCACAACCUCCACCUCCCGGGUUCAAGUGAUUCUCCUGCCUCAGCCUCCCAAGUAGCUGGGAUUACAGGCAUGCACCACCAUACCAGACUAAUUUUGUAAUUUUAGUAGAAACGGGGUUUUUCCAUGUUGGUCAGGCUGGUCCUGAACUCCCGACCUCGGGUGAUCCUCCCACCUCAGCCUCCCUAUAUUAUUAAUCUUAAGUCUAAAUGUUCUAUUAGAAAAGUUACAAUCACAUAUGCAGCUUGCAUUACAUUGCUAAUGGAACACGCUGCUCUAAACCAGGGAUUGGCAAACUAUGGGCAGUGGACAACUUCCAGCCCACUGUCUGUUUCUGUACAGCUGGUAAACAAGGAAUGGUUUUCACAUUUUUAAAUGGCAGAAAAAAAAUAAUUUGUGAUACGUGAACAUUAAUAAAAUUCAAAUUUCAGUGUCCAUGAAGAGUUAUAUUGGAAAAGAGAACCUACAACCAUUGCCUCUCCCGCUGCGUAAGUUCGGCAAAGGCUCACGCUUUUGUCUUUUGUUGGAUGAAUGACUACCAACACCUAGGACAGUGCCUGCACAAAUUAGGUGCCCUAUAAAUAUUUGUUGAGUCACUAAAUUUUAAAAUUCUAGAUUAUGGGGACUGUGUAGGAAGGACCUCAUUCUUUAGAGAACAUGAAUUACCCACUACUACAACUCGCUGUGUCCAUCCCUAAGCCAGAAGAGCGGAGGUUAAGACCCCAAGCAAGCCCACACGUAAUGACACAGGAAUGGAAAGCUGAUGCUCGGCCUGGUCUCCUGCUGAGCCUGGACACAGGCAUAGGCACUGCUGCAAUGGCAAGAGAAGCUCA
rnacentral:lncRNA from 10 species